UUUCCGUAGGUGAACCUGCGGAAGGAUCAUUAUUGAAUGAACUUGGUAGUGGUUGUAGCUGGCUCUCUCGAGAGCCUGUACACACCCGCCAUCUUUGUCUUUCCACCUGUGCACUUCUUGUAGACUUUGGGAUUUGAAAACUUAUCCGGGGCAACUCGGUCGGGAGGAGCUGCUGUAGCAAUAUGGCUCUCCUUGACAAGUCUUCAAAGUCUAUGUUUUUCAUAUACCCCAUAGUAUGUAACAGAAUGUAUACAAAUGAGCCUUAGUGCUUAUAAAACUUAUACAACUUUCAACAACGGAUCUCUUGGCUCUC
rnacentral:misc_RNA from 1 species